rnacentral:misc_RNA from 1 species
AAGUCGUAACAAGGUUUCCGUAGGUGAACCUGCGGAAGGAUCAUUAUCACGUAUCCACGUAUCAACCAUUGUGAACUGUUUACUCAGCCCUUUGAAGAGAGUGAGGUAGUUUUGGGAUGAUAAAACAUAUGAACUAUUUGUUUUGUGAUUUAUAGUUCGUUUUAACAUCUCCCAUGCUUUUCGGAGCAUACUCGUUCACUUCAGAGGUGUAUUUAAAAAAAAUCACACUUUGUCAUUAACAACUUAAACCUUACUUUUUUUUAUAUAUGAACUAAUUUGUAUUUGUUACUCUUUGCGGAG